GGGUGAGUGACUGGAAAGGCGGCCAGUGAGAAGCGCUGCAGACAUGGAGUGGACGCAAUCCCAGGCAGGUCGGAGAUACAAGACUCUAAUGUUGCCAUUCCCCAAUGAAAAAGAAAUCACCAGUGCAAUGCCCAUAAUGUUAGAAGAAGCCCUGCGCCAAAACUAAUGAAAGAUUUUGACUAUUUUCACCACCUGGACCUGGUAACUCUAUCAGAAGUCAAAGGUGUCUGUGUUGGACAUGCUAGGCAAGUCUCUACUCACAUAGAUGCUGAAUUGGAUUGCAUUAUGGUCACUGUUCCCCAAAGAUUCUAUGACACUGACAUCUUGCACCAGGUCCUGAGCACCACUCAGGAUUAAAUCCAAGGUUGCCUUUUCUCUGGUUGAUUCCAUGACCAACUGUUGUAAGGUACAGACAUUUAGCAUAUCAAUAAAUUUGACUUCUUUGACAUUUAUUUACUCAGUUUAUGUAAGGGUAACUGAAGUCACCCAUUAUCAC